GGGUCAGUAGGUUGGUCGUGCCACCGGUACGUACUGGUCUCACUGAUUCCUCCUUCCUGAAGAACCGUAAUGCCAUUAAAUUGGUGUUGCGGGGAAACAGGACUGUUACUUUGAAAAAAUGAGAGUGUUUAAAGCAAGCUAACGCUUGAAUACAUUAGCAUGGAAUAAUGAAAUAGGACGAUCGAUCCUAUUUUGUUGGUUUCUAGGAUUGACGUA
rnacentral:rRNA from 1 species